rnacentral:lncRNA from 1 species
CUCUUCCUUCAGCUAAUCUAAUAGCGAAAAAACACACGAUCACAGAGUCAGACUCAGUUACGCUGCAUUGUCAGACUCCAUCAUCUAUUGCUGUGGAUCAGUGUUAUUUCUAUACUGAUCGAGGACAAACUCCUAAAAUCUUCCCCUGCCUGCAGACACUGACAGGAACUGAUCUACUGUCUAUGUCACAGCAGCGUCCACCUGCUAAUGUUGAAGUCAAGUGUUUUUAUACUGUAAAGUAUAAAGACUCACGUUCUCCGUCUCCACACAGUGACUCAGUCUCCAUCGCUGUACACAGUAAGCAGCUGCCUUUAGAUUUGAUGGGAUUGAUUGUUCCCCUUGAAUCACAGUAAAAACAUUUUCAGUAGUGACAAUCUGACCUGAAUAAUUUAAGCAUAAUGUGCUUGAUACCAGAAUUAAAAAUAUAUUUAUUGUCUUUAUGUUUUGAAGGUGAAAAGCCACAGAUGAGCUGUUCUGAUUUGGGUGACCACACUGUUUUCGCUUGCUCUUUGCCUGAAUCUGUUGAACAUGGUACAAAAUGUAACUUGUACAUUGGAGAAGCACAUCAUCCAGUCUCAACAACACCAAUCAUGAAGAAAACCACUUCAAGAAAACAGCAGUUGUGUCAGUUUUAUAUCACGAGAGACGAUUUGCUGAAACUCCUACAAUCAGUUCAGCUAAAGGAGGCCAGCUGUGAUUACAGCCUGGAACAUGAACCCAACUUUGCUUCUGCUCGUAGUGAUGGAUGCAGCUUGACUGAUUCAUUUUCUGGUAUAAAAACACAAGGUCUGGUUCCACCUGAACUGACAGUGACUCCACUGGUGAUCACAGAGUCAGACUCAGUCACUGUGAACUGUCAGACUCCAUCAUCUGUUCCUGUCUAUCAGUGUUGGCUCUACUCAGUGAGGGAUCAAACCUCCAGAGUCGUCUCUUGUCAUCAGACACUGACAGGAACUGAGCUGAUGAAAAUGACUCAUCAAAGUUCACCUGCUGAUAUUGAAGUUACAUGUUAUUACACUGUGGAGCAAAGAGGAACUAAAUCUCAAUCUCCACUUAGUAACUCUAUCAUCAUACAGAGUAAGUAGCUACUGGGAUAUGUUUUAUUACAGCUUAUUACAAUAUCAACUGUAACUCAACACAACCACAUCUGUUCCUUCACAUGCUUCAAGUUGCAGACAGAGUUAUAAAACCAAUGAUGAACCAGAUGCUGUUCCAGUGUUUUAUGUUUGUCUUACAUUAAAUAUAUAUUUCUUUGUAUAUUAAACCUAUUUUUAUGGAUUAUGAACCGAUUACUUUCAGGUCUGGUUCCACCUGAGCUGACCGUGACUCCACUGGUGAUCACAGAGUCAGACUCAGUCACUGUGAACUGUCAGACUCCAUCAUCUGUUCCUCUGAGUCAGUGUUACUUUAACUUUGGUAAAGACAAACCUGCCAAACCCUUCUCUUGUCAGAAGACGCUGACAGGAACUGAACUGCUGCAAAUCACAAACCAAAAUUCACCUGCUGAAGUUGCAGUCAGCUGUUUUUACCUUAAAACGCAUCGGGCUCCAAACAGUAAUGUGUUCUCCAUCAGCAUACGACGUGAGUAAAUACUGUGAUAUGAACUAAUGUCAGAAGAAAUAAUGUAACAAUCAGAUCUGAUAAUUUAAAAAAGUAAAUUAUAUAA